ACUACAUACUAUUUUAUUUCAUGCUAAUGACAAAUUCAUAUAACUUCAUAGAUUGCUACGAUUCGUAAUAUCUAACACUAUGAUUGACAGCGAGUAGCGUCAAAAGCGCCGCCUUCUUGUGACCAUUCAAAAAUAAUGUAUUGGGGUAUUAGUAUUAAAUCUAUGGUAUUAGGGUCGCGAAUCGCAAGUUUCAUAUAGAUUGUUGCUAUAACCGAGCUAUAACCGUCACAGUUUUACAAGCCCUUGCCGUGGAAACUCAGGUUGUGAGUCGAAAAAUUGAAUUAUACUUCAUAAUGCUACCGAAAUGAGUUGUAUUAUGAACCAUAAAGCAACUGUUUGCUAUAAGUAGUGCGAAAAAGUAGGCCGUUGUGAUACUGAAGUGGCAAGUGUAUAAUUAGUUUUAUAGUGCUGAAUUGCGAAAAAAAUCUUCACUGUGGUUACCUCUAACAACACAACCCUGCUGCGUAAAUACUGAAGCCUUGAUAUUGUAUUUUCGUGUGGUUGUCGAAAGAAUAUCUGCCAAAGUUCGUAAGUUGAAAUCGCAUUUAUCAAGAACAGGUUAUAAGACGCAAACUGCCACGUGUAGCAUAGUUGUCCCUUGUUGAUAGGGAUUCUCAUAGAUUCUCAUUGGCAAAGGUAAGUCGGAAUAUCUGAAAUGACUGACUGUUUUCCACCUGAUGUGACGAGAAUUAGCGCCUAUGACGAAGUAAUUUUUUACCCUAGUUAAAUUGUUACUGUAUUCUAGUCCUGUCACGGUCGCCAUGUCAUGUUUUGAAAAUUUUUAGAAAAAUCAAAUAUGGAUUCAGUUUUGCGCUUUCUUGCCAAAAAAAUAUGUUUUUUUUUGGAGUAGUUUGACUUACUAGUAAAAAUACCAAUCCUUGAGUGUCCUUUGUUUGAGAUAGUUGGCUUAGAUUGUGAAUAAUCCAAGUUCUGGUGUGGAUAGUAGUCACGAAAUCUUCUCUGCCUUUCUAUUUGGAUUAAAAUAAAUAAACGAAAGCCAAUUUUCUUGCAAGUGCUACCACGUGCUGCCCACAAGUAUGCAUCGCAGUUCAUCGAGUCGAUUGACAAUGGCCCUAAUCCUACGGGUGGUCUAAUCCAUCAUCCAAGGCCACAUAAUGACACUCAAACAAUCCCUUUGGCCAAUCUUUUGAAGUUUAAUGCGCGAAAUUCCCCACCGCACUUCAUCGCUGGCGGAAACCAGUCUUGGUCCGUGCCGUACCGUGCGCCGUAACCAACCGCUAAUCCACUGGAAGUGCAUUAUCGUUCCGUUCGGCUGCUAGCUGUUCUGCGCGCAAUAAUUUUGCGAGCUUUUAUACAGCUCAUUUGCGAAUACACUUUUGCUUGCUGUCCGUUUGCGUGCCGUACCGAUGAAAACACCCAUGACUAAUUCGAUUUCGUAACACAAAAUCUACCAAUGACAUAAGUCGCGGGAAAAGAAGACAAGGUGAACAAAGUAGGCCUGCUGGAAUGGUUAGCUCCCCAUGGUUGGUGGCGAUCCGCCGUGUGAUCCUAGUUGGCGGUGGCGGCGGUCGGCGGCGUCAUUCAGUAAUCAGGUAAACAACCGCCUAUUUUUGUUCAUGCAACCACCUCUGACCGAACGGCCACACCGUCAGGGAGAGGGACUUAAGGCUACUUACGUGCUUACGUAUGUACUAUGGUACACCUUAGCUGGAGGAAGGUCUCUAUUAUGAAUGACAUUUCCCGUACACCCCCUUGGAAACCAAGCGUCGCAAGUGGAAAGUGGUUCUGCGCGAGCGCACUGCCUCCGUUGGGGUUGAGUAGUUAUUCACUUUCACUGACCGAUCCCGGUUCAGUCUGGCAGCGCCUGCCGAACGAAGUGGUCAACGGAAAAGUGAGAGGAUUCCCCCGGAAAAGAAAGUAUGGAAAACGAAGACAGUACCAAUCAACCGCUGUACGCCCGGGAUGCUGAAGCCGCCGGAGAUGUGUACGAGAAGAAGAAGGGAACUCCCAAGUGCGUACGAGUGCUCGUAGUGUGUAUCUAUCUGUUCACGGUAUCGUUUGCGGCGUUACUGCUGUCCGCGUACUACAUCUUCUUCUGGAAGCCCACGAUGGACGGUAACGGCCAGGACAGUCCCGAGCGGUUAACGGCUUGCGAUAACAACGGUUAACGGCCGUUGGCGACCCAUCAUCAUUGCCGCUAGUUCUAAGUGUUUCAGUAGAUUUAAGAUAACAUUGUCAUACCGGACAACCUGGCCAUUCAGCUAGCGAACCGGAGCGAAGUACCGGCGGAACUGUUCUACACCAACCUCUACAGGCACCUGAUCCACAGCAAGACGAUCAAGGCCCGCAAAUCGGCCGCCGUUCG